rnacentral:lncRNA from 10 species
AAAAAAUAUAAAAUAUGGUUAAAAAAUUCUCCUACUUAAGACUCCCAGACCCCUAGUUUUCCUCCCUAAAGGCAACUGACAUUACCAGUUUCCUGGGUAUCCAUGCAGGGAUAUUUUAUGCAUAAACAACCAAAUCUCUAUACAUGUCCAUAGAGAGAGGCAGACGUAUCUGCAUGUGCAUAAACACUCGUGUGUGUGUCCUUUUAUCCCAAAGGAAACACUUCUUUUUCCCUUGACAAAGGACAUCCUCUGCAUCUAGCUUCUAGAAAGUGCUGCCAAUUUGGGGACCAAGGGAGGGAGGCUGCAGAGGAACAUCGUUUGGUCAAAUGUGAAAUGUGAUCAGGAAGCCGGUGCUCAGCAAACUUAUCUGAAGCUCUUGGGGACCCCACAAAGAUGAGCGGGUCCCCUUCCCAAUUUUCGGACCGUCUUGGCAGAGGCUCCCUGUCAUCAAGGACCUGAGGUUGUCACAGCCGGAUGGUGUGGGAGCUGGCACUGCCGGGGCUCCCGCUGCCUGGGACACGUACGGCUGCCCAGUGAUCCUGAGCGCCGACCCCUGAGCACCUCAGUGUCCGUGACUGUGGAGCGGAGCAGGGAAGGGGCUCUGGAAGGGUCUGAAUCUGGUGUGUCCAGUGUGAUCCCUGCACCCAUGCCCGGAGCUGUGCCUGGGACCCUGCCCCAAGCAAAGUAAUAAUCUGAAUGAUAUCCUCAAAGGAGCCUGGCUUGGGCUAACAAGGAAGAACUUCCAACGUGGAGAGCUGUCCUGGCACCAUUUCUUCCUGCUGUAUUAGUUGAAGACCUACUGUGUUCAGGGCCGUGAGCCAGGGCACAACCACCCCUUGGGAGCACACUCUGCCUCAACCCUGGAGUGGCUCCGAAAUGAGUCUUCAGUCCACAAGACUGAGGGUUGCCAAUCCUUCUCGGGCAUCUUGAAGCAGACCAGCCACGUUGCAAGUGCUUGGAGGCCACGGAUGACUGGUGGCUGCUGUUCUGGGAGACAGAAUCCUAUAGCAUCCCCAGUCCUGCAGCACACAGGUGGGACAAUUCCAGCUUGAUGUCUCAGCCAGCGGGUUCCCACGUCCUCCCCGCCUCUCCCAGGCAGAAGACAGAGUGACCCAGGAAAACAAGGCCAUAAAAAAGGAACUCCUACUAAUGAAACCUCCUAGAUUCCAAGGAGGAAAACGUAGCUCUCAGACCAAGUCCGUUUUCGCCCUUGCAUCUGAAAGGGAGUCCAGGGAAUUGCUAAUUUUGAACUUUCUAUACACCCUUCCUGCCUCUGGAUGUGGCCGCCUGACUCGAAUUCCUUUGCACAAUAAAAUGAGGGGGAAAAAAAUCACAUCACUUCAGCAAAACACAGGCUCGAUUUUUCUUGAUUAGCGGAAAAGUGUGUGCUAUUUAAAAAGACACGUCAUAUAACUUUUUAUUUUUUAGCAUUCCCAAGCAAAA